rnacentral:rRNA from 1 species
CCGGGUAAGGCAGGCAUGGGGAAGAUUGCACAAUGGGGAAACCCUGGAUGCAGCGACGCCGCGUGAGGGAUGACGGCCUCGGGUUGUAAACCUCUUUCAGUAGGGAAGAAGCCUUUCGGGGUGACGGUACCUGCAGAAGAAGUACCGGCUAACUACGUGUCAGCAGCCGCGUCGACUUUGAUCCAGAGCAGGUUUUUGAGGUAGCAUUGCUUUGGCAGCCGGUCAGCGGCAGCAGCGAAGCAGUGACGCCGGCGCCAAUUAAAUUUGUCAUGAAGCGGCGGCGGUUGAGAAAGGCUGUUUCUGGGGUAAUUUGGGGUUCGAGAAUUUCCCAAGGUUUUGGAACGCGAAUUAAAGGCAUAAGUAAUAGUUAAAAGUUAGUAGUUAGUUGGGCGAAAUUUGCCUAAGUUUUAAUCUGUUAGUCGAUUUGAGAUUUGAGGGUUAAGAUUGACUCCAUAGAACAAAGAAUCGCGGAUAUUUGGUAAUGCGUCGCCAUUGCUUUGACAAUGCUUGGGAUCGCCCUGAAAGUAUUCGCAAUGACAGUAUAGCUUAAUUCGGUAAC